AGUGGCGGACGGGUGAGUAACGCGUGAGGAUCUGCCCUUAGGAUGGGGACAACAGUUGGAAACGACUGCUAAUACCCAAUGUGCCGAAAGGUGAAAGCUUUAGCGCCUGAGGAUGAACUCGCGUCUGAUUAGCUAGUUGGUAGUGUAAUGGACUACCAAGGCGACGAUCAGUAGCUGGUCUGAGAGGAUGAUCAGCCACACUGGGACUGAGACACGGCCCAGACUCCUACGGGAGGCAGCAGUGGGGAACUUUCCGCAAUGGGCGAAAGCCUGACGGAGCAACGCCGCGUGAGGGAAGACGGCUCGUGGGUUGUAAACCUCUUUUCUCUAGGAAGAAGAACUGACGGUACUAGAGGAAUCAGCAUCGGCUAACUCCAUGCCAGCAGCCGCGGUAAUACGGAGGAUGCAAGCGUUAUCCGGAAUUAUUGGGCGUAAAGCGUCCGUAGGCGGUUUUACAAGUCUGCUGUUAAAGCGUGCAGCUCAACUGCAUAUAGGCAGUGGAAACUGUAAGACUAGAGUGUAGUAGGGGUAGAGGGAAUUCCCAGUGUAGCGGUGAAAUGCGUAGAUAUUGGGAAGAACACCGGUGGCGAAAGCGCUCUACUGGGCUACAACUGACGCUGAUGGACGAAAGCUAGGGGAGCGAAAGGGAUUAGAUACCCCUGUAGUCCUAGCCGUAAACGAUGGACACUAGGUGUU
rnacentral:rRNA from 1 species